UGGGGUAGUGGCCUACCAAGGCGACGACGGGUAGCCGGCCUGAGAGGGCGACCGGCCACACUGGGACUGAGACACGGCCCAGACUCCUACGGGAGGCAGCAGUGGGGAAUAUUGCGCAAUGGGCGAAAGCCUGACGCAGCGACGCCGCGUGAGGGACGACGGCCUUCGGGUUGUAAACCUCUUUCAGCAGGGACGAAGCGAAAGUGACGGUACCUGCAGAAGAAGCACCGGCCAACUACGUGCCAGCAGCCGCGGUAAUACGUAGGGUGCAAGCGUUGUCCGGAAUUAUUGGGCGUAAAGGGCUCGUAGGCGGUCUGUCGCGUCGGAUGUGAAAACUCGGGGCUCAACCCCGAGCCUGCAUUCGAUACGGGCAGACUUGAGUUCGGCAGGGGAGACUGGAAUUCCUGGUGUAGCGGUGAAAUGCGCAGAUAUCAGGAGGAACACCGGUGGCGAAGGCGGGUCUCUGGGCCGAUACUGACGCUGAGGAGCGAAAGCGUGGGGAGCGAACAGGAUUAGAUACCCUGGUAGUCCACGCCGUAAACGGUGGGUGCUAGGUGUGGGGAACUUUCCACGUUCUCCGUGCCGCAGCUAACGCAUUAAAGCACCCCGCCUGGGGAGUACGGA
rnacentral:rRNA from 1 species